UACGUAGGGUCCGAGCGUUGUCCGGAAUUAUUGGGCGUAAAGAGCUCGUAGGCGGUUUGUCGCGUCUGCUGUGAAAACUCGGGGCUUAACCCCGGGCCUGCAGUGGGUACGGGCAGACUAGAGUGCGGUAGGGGAGACUGGAAUUCCUGGUGUAGCGGUGAAAUGCGCAGAUAUCAGGAGGAACACCGGUGGCGAAGGCGGAUCUCUGGGCCUUACCUGACGCUGAGGCGCGAAAGCUAGGGGAGCAAACAGG
rnacentral:rRNA from 1 species